UUGCUCUCAGAAACCAUUGUCAUGUCCUGAGGACACUCAAAGAACCUGAUGGAGAGGCCCGUACAGUGAGAAAUAACCACUAGCCAGCACCAACCUGCUGGUCAUCUGCCAAGUGAGUCAUCUUAGAAGGAGAUCCUCCAGGUUCAAUCAAACCUUCAAGCACCUGCAACCACGGCCAACUUGCUGACUCCUGCAACAGUGAGACCUUGACCCAGAAACACAGCUAAGCCACUCCCAAAUUCCUGACCUACAGACUUUCUUGGAUAGUCUUAAGAAGAUGAGUCCCUUGUCAGUGUUAGACUUUAUAAGUAUCCUUUUCCAAAAUAGCAUUUGUCUAUUAAGUUUGUCUGUAUUGUCUUUUUAAAAUAAAUUCAUAAUUUUGAUAUAGUAAUACUAA